CAGUAGCCGCGGUAAUACGUAGGGUGCAAGCGUUAAUCGGAAUUACUGGGCGUAAAGCGUGCGCAGGCGGUUAUAUAAGACAGAUGUGAAAUCCCCGGGCUCAACCUGGGAACUGCAUUUGUGACUGUAUAGCUAAAGUAUGGCAGAGGGGGAUGGAAUUCCGCGUGUAGCAGUGAAAUGCGUAGAUAUGCGGAGGAACACCGAUGGCGAAGGCAAUCCCCUGGGCCUGUACUGACGCUCAUGCACGAAAGCGUGGGGAGCAAACAGGAUUAGAUACCCCGGUAGUCCCUGUCUCUUAUAC
rnacentral:rRNA from 1 species